rnacentral:rRNA from 1 species
GAUGAACGCUGGCGGCGUGCCUAAUACAUGCAAGUCGAACGGGGUGAGAUCCUUCGGGAUUUCACUUAGUGGCGAACGGGUGAGUAACGCGUGAGGAACCUGCCUUUCAGUGGGGGACAACAGUUGGAAACGACUGCUAAUACCGCAUAACAUAAUCAAACCGCAUGAUUUGAUUAUCAAAGCUUUAUGUGCUGAAAGAUGGCCUCGCGUCUGAUUAGCUAGUUGGAGGGGUAACGGCCCACCAAGGCGACGAUCAGUAGCCGGUCUGAGAGGAUGAACGGCCACAUUGGGACUGAGAUACGGCCCAGACUCCUACGGGAGGCAGCAGUGGGGAAUAUUGGGCAAUGGGGGGAAACCCUGACCCAGCAACGCCGCGUGAAGGAAGAAGGGCUUUCGGGUUGGUAAACUUCUUUUACCAGGGACGAAGAACGUGACGGUACCUGGAGAAAAAGCAACGGCUAACUACGUG